rnacentral:rRNA from 1 species
GUACACGCUGUGACUAGCAUAUCAAUAAGCGGAGGAAAAGAAACUAACAAGGAUUCCCCUAGUAACGGCGAGUGAAGCGGGAAGAGCUCAAAUUUGAAAUCUUAAAGGGUUUCCCUUUACGAAUUGUAGUUUAAAGAAGUGUUUUCUGUUGAGGUUUUGGUAAAAGUUCUUUGGAAUAGGACAUCAUAGAGGGUGAGAAUCCCGUAUUUGACCUUUACUUUCAACUUUGUGAUACACUUUCAAAGAGUCGGAUUGUUUGGGAAUGCAGUCCAAAAUGGGUGGUAAAUUUUCAUCUAAAGCUAAAUAUUGGCGAGAGACCGAUAGCGAACAAGUACCGUGAGGGAAAGAUGAAAAGAACUUUGAAAAGAGAGUUAAACAGUACGUGAAAUUGUCAAAAGGGAAGCGUUUGACACCAGUGUUGUUUUUCUGAAAAUCAAUUAAAGAACUGUUUAUGCUAAGUUGUUUAGACUUUAUCAGCUAAUCUGUUUAGUUUUGAGCUUUUCUUUAAUGCACUUUUCAGUUAACAAGUCAACAUCAAUUUCUUCUGCUGUAAAAAAGCUUGAGGAAGGUGGCUUGAGAUUCGUCUUAAGUGUUUAUAGCCUCUUGCCUAUGCAGUCGGAGAGAUUGAGGUCUGCAGCGUAGAUCCUUCGGGGCUAAAUGCAUUUGUGCUAAGUUAUAGCAUUUUAUAGACAACUUGUUGACUAUGAUUUGUCUUGUAGCUUACUCGCUUAUGUUAUUUUACCUACGCUUAGGAUGUUGAAUCGUAGAGCACGCAG